rnacentral:misc_RNA from 1 species
AAGUCGUAACAAGGUUUCCGUAGGUGAACCUGCGGAAGGAUCAUUGCCGAGCGUGCACCGUUGUGUGAGCCGAAAGGCGACCACAGCGUGUGCAUUUCUCUCCAAACCCAUGUGAACUCUGUAUUCGUGACUUGUGCUGCGCGCGCCACGUGCGCGCGCACACACACUUUUACCAACAACGUUGACUGUGCUUCUCUGACUGAGACAAACUGUCUGCUCGCUAACGCGACGUUGACAUCAAAACCAACAUAUCACAACUUUUAACAACGGAUAUCUUGGCUCGC